rnacentral:rRNA from 2 species
CACGGUGAAUACGUUCCCGGGCCUUGUACACACCGCCCGUCACACCAUGGGAGUGGGUUGCAAAAGAAGUAGGUAGCUUAACCUUCGGGAGGGCGCUUACCACUUUGUGAUUCAUGACUGGGGUGAAGUCGUAACAAGGUAACCGUAGGGGAACCUGCGGUUGGAUCACCUCCUUACCUUAAAGAAGC